GUGAGUAGUUCAGAGUUUGAUCCUGGCUCAGGACGAACGCUGGCGGCGUGCCUAACACAUGCAAGUCGAGCGAGUGGAUUUCCUUCGGGAAUGAAGCUAGCGGCGGACGGGUGAGUAACACGUGGGCAACCUGCCUCAUAGAGGGGAAUAGCCUCCCGAAAGGGAGAUUAAUACCGCAUAAGAUUGUAGCUUCGCAUGAAGUAGCAAUUAAAGGAGCAAUCCGCUAUGAGAUGGGCCCGCGGCGCAUUAGCUAGUUGGUGAGGUAACGGCUCACCAAGGCGACGAUGCGUAGCCGACCUGAGAGGGUGAUCGGCCACAUUGGGACUGAGACACGGCCCAG
rnacentral:rRNA from 1 species